CUAUAGCACUGUCGCGAGCGUGAAGCUGCUGUGGGAAAUCAGUGGAUUUGUCGCAGCAGCUUC
rnacentral:ncRNA from 14 species